rnacentral:rRNA from 1 species
CCAAUAGCGUAUAUUAAAGUUGUUGCAGUUAAAAAGCUCGUAGUUGAAUUUCGGGAUCAAUAUAUCGGUCGUGCCUUCGGUACGUACUGGUAUCGUUGAUUUCUACCUUCUGACGAACCAUGAUGUCAUUAAUUUGGUGUCAUGGGAAAUCAGGACUGUUACUUUGAAAAAAUUAGAGUGUUUAAAGCAGGCACACGCUUGAAUACAUUAGCAUGGAAUAAUGAAAUAGGACGUUUGACCCUAUUUUGUUGGUUUCUAGGAUCGACGUAAUGAUUAAUAGGGAUAGUUGGGGGCAUUAGUAUUCAAUUGUCAGAGGUGAAAUUCUUGGAUUUAUUGAAGACUAAAUACUGCGAAAGCAUUUGCCAAGGAUGUUUUCAUUAAUCAAGAACGAAAGUUAGGGGAUCGAAGACGAUCAGAUACCGUCGUAGUCUUAACCAUAAACUAUGCCGACUAGGGAUCGGAUGAUGUUAAUUUUUUAAUGACUCAUUCGGCGCCUUACG